rnacentral:rRNA from 1 species
CCUACGGGAGGCAGCAGUGGGGAAUAUUGCACAAUGGGGGAAACCCUGAUGCAGCGACGCCGCGUGAGUGAAGAAGUAAUUCGUUAUGUAAAGCUCUAUCAGCAGGGAAGAAAAUGACGGUACCUGAGUAAGAAGCCCCGGCUAACUACGUGCCAGCAGCCGCGGUAAUACGUAGGGGGCAAGCGUUAUCCGGAUUUACUGGGUGUAAAGGGAGCGUAGACGGCAUUGCAAGUCUGGAGUGAAAGGCGGGGGCUCAACCCCCGGACUGCUCUGGAAACUGUACGGCUGGAGUGCAGGAGAGGUAAGUGGAAUUCCUAGUGUAGCGGUGAAAUGCGUAGAUAUUAGGAGGAACACCAGUGGCGAAGGCGGCUUACUGGACUGUAACUGACGUUGAGGCUCGAAAGCGUGGGGAGCGAACAGGAUUAGAUACCCUUGUAGUC